GAAAUGCGAUAAGUAAUGUGAAUUGCAGAAUUCAGUGAAUCAUCGAAUCUUUGAACGCACAUUGCGCCCGCCAGUAUUCUGGCGGGUAUGCCUGUUCGAGCGUCAUUUCAACCAUCAAGCCCCGGGCUUGUGUUGGGGACCUGCGGCUGCCGCAGGCCCUGAAAAGCAGUGGCGGGCUCGCUGUCACACCGAGCGUAGUAGCAUACAUCUCGCUCUGGGCGUGCUGCGGGUUCCGGCCGUUAAACCACCUUCAUAACCCAAGGUUGACCUCGGAUCAGGUAGGAAGACCCGCUGAACUUAAGC
rnacentral:misc_RNA from 1 species